CAGCAGCCGCGGUAAUACGAAGGGGGCUAGCGUUGCUCGGAAUGACUGGGCGUAAAGGGCGCGUAGGCGGAUUGUUUAGUUAGGCGUGAAAUUCCUGGGCUUAACCUGGGGACUGCGCUUAAUACAGGCAGUCUAGAGUGAGGAAGAGGGUUGUGGAAUUCCCAGUGUAGAGGUGAAAUUCGUAGAUAUUGGGAAGAACACCGGUGGCGAAGGCGGCAACCUGGUCCUUGACUGACGCUGAGGCGCGAAAGCGUGGGGAGCAAACAGGAUUAGAUACCCCAGUAGUCCCUGUCUCUUAUAC
rnacentral:rRNA from 1 species